GUCUGUUCAAAAAUUGUUUGUCCUCUACAUAACUGCCAUACUUGGGAAUCGCUAUUAUUAUAAAUGUGGAAAAUAUUAAAGAAAAAAGAAAGAAAGAGUAAGUGUGUCCAGAAUGAUGUUGAAUACACAGUAUACACACAGUAUGUACAUACAUGCUGAGAAAGAGUAGCUCUCAUCAACUGUUUGUAUAAAUUGAACAGUUAACAUCAACUGUUACCAGCUAGUUUGUUCUGUCCAGUGUUCAUUUGUGUGUGUGUGUUCAUGUGUGUGUGUGUGUGUGUGUGUGUGUGUUCCAGUAGCCGAGGUUGUGUGCAGCUCCUGGGGUUGUAAGCUGAUUAGCUGGCUGCUCCAUCCCACGCUGCUUCUGGAGGGAGGAGAUUUAGAGCUAUUAUAACCACUAAGUCCUCUCUGCUACAUGUUUACAGGUCAGGUUAACAGACGUGCACACACAUAUCUACAAACUGAGGCAUCACUGCAGCUCUCAGGAGCGCGUGUACGAACUCUGGAGCGGGUCAUAUUCUUUGUUUCCAUGCCGACCCUCAGGAUGGAGUGAGUCUGUUGUCUUCGGUGGCUGAAGGCAGCGAGGUAUCCCGCAGUCCUGAACACUGCUAGCAUGCCUGUGCAUCAGAUAUCAGUCGUGCCCAUCGCCAAAGAGACCGGCAAAAGCUCUAGCCGGAACAGAGACAAGAGUAAAGAGAAUGAGGCAAGUACACACAUUUAAAUCAGAGAAUCCGUGAUGCAUGUGGAGUUUUUCAUAACAAAUACCAUAGUUUGUUGUUGAUGAUGAAGAUGUAGCCAUCCAUAAUUUUCCAUAUGGUUAUUAUAGUCUGUUAGUACACUUGUAUUGCACAAUAUUACACUUUCAUUAUGGUUACUGUUGCACAAGUAUUAAGUUGUGAGUAUUAUCCUAUAAUGACAUUUCUGCUAUUUAGUUUGCAUGAAUCGGUAAGAUUUACUGUAAGUGCCAAAGCAAGCAAAUUGCGUGGAUAAAAAAAUGACUCAAUCUCAUGUAAACAGAAAUAUAGCCUAGAGCAGGAGCUGGACGGUUUUGUAUUGGAAAAGAAAUUGCUGCUAUAAAUAGAACAGCAAGGCAGUGUUACAUAUAUUUCAGCCUCUUCAGGGUCAUUGGCAUUUCUUUCAAGUAUAUUGUAAAUCAAACAUGCUUUUCCAACGAAUCACUUUAGCAUGUUUGCAGUUCAGUUAGUUUCAGCGGUGUGUAAGUUUGUAAUAUCCAGGACCUUUUUUUAUUUUUUUAAUGUGUGAGCAUUAUUGUUAGGCAAACAAUAUGAUGCAUAUCAUACACAAACAUGGCAGGUGCUGGCUAAAAUCACAGGUCCAAUCAUUUUGAGGAACUGAUCUCUGCAUUUGCCAAAUAUUUUCAUGUUUGUUGCACCAAAUAUGAAAUAUAUUUAGAGUUUUGUUUUAGAGGCUUAGUAGUACCAUGAGCAUAUCUGAAUAGUAUUUGGUCUGUGAAAUAAUCACCAUUUAUCACUUUUUUGUGGAUCGACAUAAAUUAUGAAUAUUACCUAGAAUUGUCAAAAAAUGUCUUUGAGGUGUUUUCUGCAUUUGUCUGGCCACUGGUGCUGAUGGCAAUUAUUUAAUGCCUUUUCCACAGUGAUCUUUAUUGUGAUUUUAGAUUUACUUGCCCCUUAAAUGGUAUAAAAAACAUGUUCCAUGUUGUCAUGUUAUGUGUAGAUGUCUGGCUAAGCAAAGCUAUCUUCAGUAUGCUUUGGCUGACCAUGCCCCACAGGAAGUUUAAAAUCAUUUGUCUUUUAAUCAUUUAGAUUUGCAUGUCCUGAAUGAAAUAUCAUGCCUGAAUUUGGGUCAAAUUUAAUAACUUGCUCCCUUACAAUUCAUAAGUAUGCAUUUAUAUUCACUUGACCACACCCCACAGGAAGUUAAAUUGGAAUUAAAGGACUA
ensembl:lncRNA